GAUGAACGCUGGCGGCGUGCCUAACACAUGCAAGUCGAACGGACUUAAUUUGAAACCUAGUGAUAAUUAAGUGAGUGGCGGACGGGUGAGUAACGCGUGGAUAACCUGCCGUAUGCAGGGGGAUACCAACUGGAAACAGUUGCUAAUACCGCAUAAGCGCACGGUGUCGCAUGACACAGUGUGAAAAGGUUUAACGGCAUACGAUGGAUCCGCGUCCGAUUAGCCAGUUGGCGGGGUAACGGCCCACCAAAGCGACGAUCGGUAGCCGGCCUGAGAGGGCGGACGGCCACAUUGGGACUGAGACACGGCCCAAACUCCUACGGGAGGCAGCAGUGGGGAAUAUUGCACAAUGGGGGGAACCCUGAUGCAGCGACGCCGCGUGAGUGAAGAAGUAUUUCGGUAUGUAAAGCUCUAUCAGCAGGGAAGAAAA
rnacentral:rRNA from 1 species